rnacentral:rRNA from 1 species
GAUGAACGCUGGCGGCGUGCCUAACACAUGCAAGUCGAACGGAGUCCAGCCUUUAAGACCUUCGGGUCAAAGAGGGGAAGACUGAGUGGCGGACGGGUGAGUAACACGUGGGCAACCUGGCUCAUAGAGGGGGAUAACAGAGAGAAAUUUCUGCUAAUACCGCAUAAGCACACACUGCCGCAUGACAGAGGGUGAAAAGAGAAUCGCUAUGAGAUGGACCCGCGUCUGAUUAGCCAGUUGGCAGGGUAAGAGCCUACCAAAGCGACGAUCAGUAGCCGAUCUGAGAGGAUGAACGGCCACAUUGGGACUGAGACACGGCCCAAACUCCUACGGGAGGCAGCAGUGGGGGAUAUUGCACAAUGGGGGGAACCCUGAUGCAGCGACGCCGCGUGAGUGAAGAAGUAUUUCGGUAUGUAAAGCUCUAUCAGCAGGGAAGAUAAUGACAGUACCUGAAUAAGAAGCCCCGGCUAACUACGUG